rnacentral:rRNA from 1 species
UACAGAGGUCUCGAGCGUUAGGCGGAAUCACUGGGCUUAAAGCGUGUGUAGGCGGAUCGUUACGUGCCUUGUGAAAUCCCACGGCUCAACCGUGGAACUGCUUGGCAUACUGGCGGUCUUGAGCAACCUAGGGGCGAGCGGAACAAAUGGUGGAGCGGUGAAAUGCGUAGAUAUCAUUUGGAACGCCAAUGGUGAAAACAGCUCGCUGGGGGUUUGCUGACGCUGAGACACGAAAGCCAGGGGAGCAAACGGG